rnacentral:rRNA from 1 species
AUACGGAGGGCACAAGCGUUGUUCGGAAUCAUUGGGCGUAAAGCGCGCGUAGGCGGCUUGAAAAGUCGGGUGUGAAAGCCCGGGGCUCAACCCCGGAAUUGCACUCGAAACUGCCAAGCUAGAGUCUCGGAGAGGAAGGCGGAAUUCCCGGUGUAGAGGUGAAAUUCGUAGAUAUCGGGAGGAGCACCAGUUGCGAAGGCGGCCUUCUGGACGAUGACUGACGCUGAGGUGCGAAAGCGUGGGGAGCAAACAGGAUUAGAAACCCCAGUAGUCC